GUGCCAGCAGCCGCGGUAAGACGAACCGUCCUAACGUUGUUCGGAAUCACUGGGCUUAAAGGGCGCGUAGGCGGGUUCCCAAGUCGGUGGUGAAAUCUUUCGGCCCAACCGGAAAACAGCCGCCGAUACUGGGAGUCUUGAGGGAGGUAGGGGUCGAUGGAACUUCCGGUGGAGCGGUGAAAUGCGUAGAUAUCGGAAGGAACGCCGGUGGCGAAAGCGAUCGACUGGACCUUUUCUGACGCUGAGGCGCGAAAGCCAGGGGAGCAAACGGGAUUAGAAACCCCCGUAGUCC
rnacentral:rRNA from 1 species